rnacentral:rRNA from 1 species
ACGGGUGCGUAACGCGUGGGAAUCUGCCCUUUGGUUCGGAAUAACAGCUGGAAACGGCUGCUAAUACCGGAUGAUGACGAAAGUCCAAAGAUUUAUCGCCAGAGGAUGAGCCCGCGUUGGAUUAGGUAGUUGGUGGGGUAAAGGCCUACCAAGCCGACGAUCCAUAGCUGGUCUGAGAGGAUGAUCAGCCACACUGGGACUGAGACACGGCCCAAACUCCUACGGGAGGCAGCAGUGGGGAAUAUUGGACAAUGGGCGAAAGCCUGAUCCAGCAAUGCCGCGUGAGUGAUGAAGGCCCUAGGGUUGUAAAGCUCUUUUACCCGGGAAGAUAAUGACUGUACCGGGAGAAUAAGCCCCGGCUAACUCCGUGCCAGCAGCCGCGGUAAUACGGAGGGGGCUAGCGUUGUUCGGAAUUACUGGGCGUAAAGCGCACGUAGGCGGCUUUGUAAGUCAGAGGUGAAAGCCUGGAGCUCAACUCCAGAACUGCCUUUGAGACUGCAUCGCUUGAAUCCAGGAGAGGUCAGUGGAAUUCCGAGUGUAGAGGUGAAAUUCGUAGA